rnacentral:tRNA from 1 species
GCCCCAUUGCAAGACAUGUUGGACUCCAGAAAGCGUCCGCACUCCUAAAGCGGGUGCCGCAGGUUCGAAUCCUGCAGGGGCA